rnacentral:rRNA from 1 species
UAGGGAAUCUUCCGCAAUGGGCGAAAGCCUGACGGAGCAACGCCGCGUGAGUGAUGAAGGUCUUCGGAUCGUAAAACUCUGUUAUUAGGGAAGAACAAAUGUGUAAGUAACUAUGCACGUCUUGACGGUACCUAAUCAGAAAGCCACGGCUAACUACGUGCCAGCAGCCGCGGUAAUACGUCGGUGGCAAGCGUUAUCCGGAAUUAUUGGUCGUAAAGCGCGCGUAGGCGGUUUUUUAAGUCUGAUGUGAAAGCCCACGGCUCAACCGUGGAGGGUCAUUGGAAACUGGAAAACUUGAGUGCAGAAGAGGAAAGUGGAAUUCCAUGUGUAGCGGUGAAAUGCGCAGAGAUAUGGAGGAACACCAGUGGCGAAGGCGACUUUCUGGUCUGUAACUGACGCUGAUGUGCGAAAGCGUGGGGAUCAAACAG